UAACAAUUUUUUUAUUUUAAAAAAAGAGUCAAAAAUUAAUCAUUUAAUAUAUAUAAACAUAUAAUUAUAUAUAUAUAAAAUUUUAAGCGAAGAAAUAUAUAACUCGUCGAAGUACAUUAACAUAUUUAUAUAAACAACACUUUAUCAUUAAAUACAACGUUAAAAAAGGAAUAGUUCAAAAUGGCAAAAUCAAAGAAUCACACAAAUCAUAACCAAAACAGGAAGGCUCAUAAGAAUGGUAUUAAGAAACCCAAAGUCCACAAAUUCAUGUCUCGUAAGGGGGUAUGUAUAAAAAAUUAAUUCGUUAUUGAUUCAUUUACUAAUUUUUAUAUCCUUUCAGAUAGUUUUAU